UUCGAAGGGGGCUAGCGUUGUUCGGAAUUACUGGGCGUAAAGCGUGCGCAGGCGGCUUCUCAAGUCAGGGGUGAAAGCCCAGAGCUCAACUCUGGAAUUGCCUUUGAGACUGAGUGGCUUGAGUACGAGAGAGGUGAGUGGAAUUCCCAGUGUAGAGGUGAAAUUCGUAGAUAUUGGGAAGAACACCGGUGGCGAAGGCGGCUCACUGGCUCGUAACUGACGCUCAUGCACGACAGCGUGGGGAUCAAACAGG
rnacentral:rRNA from 1 species